UGUAAAUAGUCCGGGUAGCCAUGCUGUUCAGCUGUCUUAUGGCUUGGAGGUAGAAGCUGUUCAGCUGUCUUAUGGCUUGGAGGUAGAAGCUGUUCAGCUGUCUUAUGGCUUGGAGGUAGAAGCUGUUCAGCUGUCUUAUGGCUUGGAGGUAGAAGCUGUUCAGCUGUCUUAUGGCUUGGAGGUAGAAGCUGUUCAGCUGUCUUAUGGCUUGGAGGUAGAAGCUGUUCAGCUGUCUUAUGGCUUGGAGGUAGAAGCUGUUCAGCUGUCUUAUGGCUUGGAGGUAGAAGCUGUUCAGCUGUCUUAUGGCUUGGAGGUAGAAGCUGUUCAGCUGUCUUAUGGCUUGGAGGUAGAAGCUGUUCAGCUGUCUUAUGGCUUGGAGGUAGAAGCUGUUCAGCUGUCUUAUGGCUUGGAGGUAGAAGCUGUUCAGCUGUCUUAUGGCUUGGAGGUAGAAGCUGUUCAGCUGUCUUAUGGCUUGGAGGUAGAAGCUGUUCAGCUGUCUUAUGGCUUGGAGGUAGAAGCUGUUCAGCUGUCUUAUGGCUUGGAGGUAGAAGCUGUUCAGCUGUCUUAUGGCUUGGAGGUAGAAGCUGUUCAGCUGUCUUAUGGCUUGGAGGUAGAAGCUGUUCAGCUGUCUUAUGGCUUGGAGGUAGAAGCUGUUCAGCUGUCUUAUGGCUUGGAGGUAGAAGCUGUUCAGCUGUCUUAUGGCUUGGAGGUAGAAGCUGUUCAGCUGUCUUAUGGCUUGGAGGUAGAAGCUGUUCAGCUGUCUUAUGGCUUGGAGGUAGAAGCUGUUCAGCUGUCUUAUGGCUUGGAGGUAGAAGCUGUUCAGCUGUCUUAUGGCUUGGAGGUAGAAGCU